rnacentral:lncRNA from 1 species
GCGGCCUGGGUCUCGGAGGGCGGCGGCCCGUGCUCCGCUUUCUCCCGAGGGGCUGCGCUUCGGCCUUUGUGGGGCGGGGGCGUCCCGGCGGCUGGGGCAGGAUGGGGGGGCCGCUGACGUCCGCGAGGGCGGGGCGCGCUUGUUUUCGCGGCCGCGGGCGUUUGGCCGGAGGUUCGGGGCGGGCGGGCGAGCGAGCGAGCGAGCGAGCGGCCGCGGCGUUAGGCCUGGAGGGGCCGCUUGUGGGCUCCCGGUGCGAGCAUCUCCCGACGGACCCGAGCUCCGGGCCGCCGCACGCGCCGGCCCUGGCCGGCUUUUUGUUUUCGUCCUUCCUCGCCCGCGCGCCCGCCGUGCUCAGGGAAGCGCCCGGCUCGCCUCGGCUCGGCUCGGCUCGGCUGCGGAGCUGCGCCUCCCCGGGAUCCGAGGCGCGGCGGGGCCCACGGAGACCGGGGCCGGGUGAGUGCGGGGCCGCGCACCGAGAGCGGCCCGGAAGGCGUGGUGGAGGGCCGUGCCGGCCGACGGGAGUGACCGUUGUCGCCGUAGCGUGAGGCCGGGCCGCAGGGCAGGUAUUGUGUCCAGGAGGCCAGAAGAGGGCAUCAGAGCCCCCAAAGCCGGAAUAAAAAGGUGGUGACCUCCAGGCCAACCAGGACUGAAUGUGAAGUAGAAUUUUCAUGAUUUUUAAAUGUCUAAACUGAGCCAGGUGUUGGUGGCUCACACCUUUAAUCCCAGCACUCGGGAGGCAGAGACAGAUGGAUCACUGUGAGUUCGAGACCAGCCUCGUCUACAAGAGCUAGUUCCAGGACAGCCUCCAAAGCCACAGAGAAACCCUGUCUCGAAAAACCAAAAAAAAAAAAAAAAAAAAAAAAAAAGUCUAAACUGCUUCUCUGGCAGCUUAACCUCUUCCUCUCCAAACAGGAGCCUGCACCACAACUGGUCCUGGCUAACCCAAGGGCUCUAAGGCACCAUAGUACAAGCCAGCAUUUCCUAAGAUUCAGUUUCGUUGUGUGAUGUCCUGGCUACACUGCACAAACUGAAUGUCUCACAUUGCCAAGUUGAUCCCUUAAGACUCCCAAGGAGAAGGAGAAACUAGCUAGCGUGCCUGGGUUGGUAGGCCAUUCAGAAUUCCAUGCACAGCUGAUAGAGCUAAAUCUGGGCCUUUCUGUUCUCAACACAUUCCCACGCUGGCUUUGGAUGGUCUCAAAUGCCUGCCUGUUAAGUUGAGGGUGUCAUAAUGAAUUUGAUUUUUUUUUAAGGAUUUAGAUUUAUUAUUUUGUGCAUAUGACUGUUUUUCUUGCAUGUACGUAUGUAUGUAUGUAUGUAUGUAUGUACGUACGUACGUAUGUAUACACAUGUACCAUGUGUUUGCCUGGUACCCUCAGAGGUCAGAGGAGGAUGUCAUAUCCCCUGGGAUUGGAGUUACAGUUGUGAACCAUUAUGUGGAUCGUCUGCAAGAGCAAGUGCUCGUACCUUCAGAGCCAUCUCUCCAGCCCCUAAAAUGUUAAUAAGUUUAAAAACAGACCUGAG